GGCCCGGUCGUCUAACGGCUAGGACGCAGGAUUUUCAUUCCUGUAAUCGGGGUUCGAUUCCCCGUCGGGCUG
rnacentral:tRNA from 1 species